CACGUUCUCUAUGUGUUAUUUAUGUGAGAGUAUAAAUUAGUGUAAGAAAUUAAAAAAAAAAAAAAGAACCCAUUGACACACGUUCUCCCUCACGUUUACAGAAACAGAAGAGCACAUUGAGAUACGGUGCUCCGCGAAACAGCGAACCCAAUCCGCCUUAAACCCUCCCGACCGAAGUCGACGAACAGACAACGAUCCUCCGAUGGAGUUUGAGAUCAAUGAAAGCUAGUUUCUUUUUUUUCUCGAGAAUGGCGCUCGUGAGGAGGCUUCAAACAGAAUCUUCUUCCUUUCCUUUUCGAAGUGGAAAUGAGUUCUCUUGGAUUCAGAGUGGAGAUGAGUUGAGAUUAGGGUGUUGGAGCCUCCAACUUGGAGGAGGGCUAUCAUUCUUCGCUUUGUCACCUUCUGUGAAUCCUUUCUCCAUUGAUUUGACUCUAAUGUAGUGUGCUUUUGAGUAAUGUAAUUGGCAUGUUUCAGUUCCUGACACUCAUGGAUUAAGCGUUUAUUCACGCUUAUAUGAGAGCUACAAAACACAUUUGCUUCAGACUACAACGAUGUUUCAAAAGGAGCGGUUGGAAAACAACAAAAGAGGAUUUUAUACGGGAGCUAAGAAGUGCUUACGCUAUCGCAAAGUUAACAAAGACUGGUUACUCAAAGAAUAAGUUCUACAUUGAAGCACUAAAGUUAUACAAAGAGACUAACAUUAUGAUGGCCAAUGGUGACCAGAAGACAAUAAUGAAAAACUUAACUGAAAGGAUGUUGUUUUCAGCAAGCAUUGAAGAACGAAAUUAGACAAAGAGAAGCCAUGUGGGGUACUGUUUACGGGAAAAUGGUUGAGGCGGUGAUCAAAAUCAAGACUUUACAAGCUAGAUUGAUACAGGACGGACCUCAAUAAAGCUUUCAUACAGCUGACACUUGAGUUUCUGACAAAGCAGAAAUUUGAAGCAUAUGAUUCUAAAGGCAGUGUAGUAGCCGUAGACAAGAAAAAAGAGGUGCUUGUACGUGACAUCUGAGUCUUUGAGAAGUCUCUAUUCCAUACAGGAGCUUGCUGACGACUCUGGCUGGAUUGAACUUCCAACAAAGGAUAAAAUCCAACCUGCCCUCUGAUUUUUUGUUUGCUAGUCAGUAAUCUCUAUACAAAUUGGCUUUCUUCUAUUUUUCUCUUGCAAUGUAAGCCUGAAUGUUAUCUGAUUAGGCCCUAGAGUUGUUAGG